GUAAUGGUGACGUGGUGGUGACACUGAUCUGGUUGGUGACGGUGUUGCAAUGGUGCCGUUGACCCGGUGGUGAUGCUGACCCAAUGGUGCCAUUGACCCGAUGGUGCCGGUGCCGGUGCUGGUGCUGUUGACCCAGCAGUGAUGGUGACAGUGACGGUGUUGCAGUGGUGACGGUGACGUUGACUUGGUGGUGACGUUGACCCAAUGGUUCUGGUUCCGGUUACAGUUCUGGUGCCGUUGACUCAGCAGUGAUGGUGACGGUGAGUCGCACUGAUGUAGUGGUGCCAUUGGUUCCGUUGGGUCCAUUGGUUCCGUUGGGUCCAUUGGUUCCAUUGGGUCCAUUGGUUCCGUUGGGUCCAUUGGUACCAACGAUACCAUUGGUUCCAUUGGUUCCAUCAGUACCAUCGACACCAUUGGUUCCGUUGGUUCCGUUGGGUCCAUCGGUUCCGUUGGUUCCGUUGGGUCCAUCGGUACCACUGCUUCCAUUGCUUCCACCGGUUCCAUUCUUCCCAUUGUUUCCAUUGGUGCCACGGUGGUGCUGCGGUGUUGCCAUUGACUCCCCCAGUCCCGGUUCCGGUUCCGGUUCCGGUUCUGGUUCCUCCUCCGGUUCAGGCGUGCAGGCAGCGGUUGAAGGCGUUGUAGGCGGACUCGAGGUCGAAGAGCAUCUGGCGGACCUGGGAGUCGUCCAGCUCGUCGGCAGCCGACAUGGAGCUCAGCGUCUGCAGCCUGCGACGGCAGCGGGAUUUGGGAUCAGCAGCACGCACCAGGGGACCCCGAACGACCCCAUAAGGGCCCCAUAGGGUCCCUGAGCACAUAAGGAACCCAUAGACCACCCUGACACCAGAAGGACCCCGUAAAGACCCCAUAAGGACCUCAUAAGGACACCACAAGGACUCAUAAAACCCAUAAGGAACGCAUAGACAAUCCUGACCCCAUAAGGACCCCAUAAGGACUCCAUAACCCCAUAAGAUACCAUAAGACCCCAUAAGACCCCAGAAGGACCCCAUAAGACCCCAUAAGGACACCACAGGGACCUGUAGAAUCCAUAAAGAAACCAUAGAUCGCCCUGACCCCAUAAGGACCCCAUAAGACCCCAUAUGACCCCAUAAGAACACCACAAGGACCUGUAGAACCCAUAAGGAACCCAUAGACCACCCUGACCCCAUUAGGACCCCAUAAGGACCCCAUAACCCCAUCAAAACCCAUAAAACCCCAUAAGACCCCAUAUGACCCCAUAAGGACCUCAUAUGACCCCAUAAGGACACCAGAAGGAUCUGUAGAAACCAUAAGGAACCCAUAGACAACCCUGACCCCAUAAGGACCCCAUAACCCCAUAAAACCCCGUAAGAUCCCAUACUGACCCCAAAAGGCCCCAUAAAGAUCCCAUAUGACCCCAUAAGGACACCACAAGGACCUGUAGAACCCAUAAGGAACCCAUAGAACACCCUGACCCCAUAAGGACCCCAUAAGACCCCAUCAAAACCCGUAAAACCCCAUAAGACCCCAUGAAGACUCAAUAUGACCCCAUAAGGACACCACAAGGACCCAUAGAAACCAUAAGGAACCCAUAAAACACCCUGACCCCAUAAGGACCCCAUAAGGACCCCAUAACCACAUCAAAACCCAUAAAACCCCAUAAGACCCCAUAAGGAUCCCAUAAGGACCCUAUUAAGACCCCAUAAGACCCCAUAAAGACCCUAUAAAGACCCCAUAGGGACCCCAAAAAACCCUAUAAACCCCAUAAGACCCCAUAAGGACCCCACAAGACCCCAUAAGACCCCACAAGGACCUCAUAGGACC
ensembl:lncRNA